GACGAAGGAUGCAAGCGUUAUCCGGAUUCAUUGGGUUUAAAGGGUGCGUAGGCGGUCUAUUAAGUCAGUGGUGAAAGCCGGUAGCUUAACUAUCGAAUUGCCAUUGAUACUGGUAGACUUGAGUACAGAUGCUGUGGGCGGAAUAUGACAUGUAGUGGUGAAAUGCUUAGAUAUGACACAGAACACCGAUUGCGAAGGCAGCUCACUAAGCCAUAACUGACGCUGAUGCACGAAAGCGUGGGGAGCAAACAGG
rnacentral:rRNA from 1 species